rnacentral:rRNA from 1 species
UACGUAGGGGGCUAGCGUUGUCCGGAUUUAUUGGGCGUAAAGAGCGUGUAGGCGGCCAUGUAGGUCCGGUGUGAAAACUCGAGGCUUAACCUCGAGAUGUCAUCGGAAACCAUUUGGCUAGAGUCCGGAAGAGGAGAAUGGAAUUCCUGGUGUAGCGGUGAAAUGCGCAGAUAUCAGGAAGAACACCCGUGGCUAAGGCGGUUCUCUAGUACGGUACUGACGCUGAGACGCGAAAGCGUGGGGAGCGAACAGG